GAACGAUUACAGCCGGGAUGAGUAGCAGGACCACCAGGGUGAGGCUGACCACCGGGUAACCCUCGCUCAAACUGGGGCUGGGUGCUGUGCUCUGACCUGGCUGCGACAUUUAAUCACGGACACCCCUUCACCACGCCGUGUAGAUGAGAACCAUGAUGACUGCUGCAAAGCUACGCUGUCGCUGUCCACUCGGGGCUGGUGCUGAAAACGCUCCGGCUUGCCUUGACUGUGCCGCUGCCGACUGCUAAAUAGUGGCUCGGCUUCAGCGCGCUUUUCUACUCCACGCUCAGCCAGCCCACGCGGCGUGACGGAGCUUCCCCGGCGUUGGCCCCUCCCACAGCAUGGCGGGAUCCCGCCGAGUGGCGGCCCAUUGGUUGCCGGGCGCGGAUGUUGCAGCCCUCUCGCGCCUUGUAGAGCGUCGCUUCCGGAGCUCCGACAGGCACACGGCCAGAAGCGAGCGAGUCACGACUCAGAACACACAGUCCUCCUUUUUUCUUUUUUUUUUUGUUCCAGACAGAACAAAUACACGAAUCCAGACAGCCCAGCAGGACGUGUCCUAAAAUAGCCUCACUGAAACACACACUGCAUACAUUACUAGACAGAUAAUUGGAUGGAUGGAUGGAUGGAUGGAUGGAUGGAUGGAUGGAUGGAUGGAUGGAUGGAUGGAUGGAUGGAUGGAUGGAUAGAUAGAUAGUAGGGCAGUGGGUUGAAUAUAAAAACUGGUUCUCUACAAACACUUUGCUAGUGAGACGUUCCGUAACGCCACCAGCUGAAGACUCCCACUUCCAUAAGAGCAGAAAAAGAAGGCAGGCGAUGACACCAAUGAAGCGACAUAACCUGGUGACUUCAUCACCACAAGUAGAGUCAUGGCGUCUAUUUGGAGAAACUGGUGGACAAAGCAGAGUGGAGGACAUACAUGGCAACGCUUCCUCCGCCUCCCGGCCAAUCAGGGCCGGAUUUCCCAGGGAUUCUCGUUGCUGUCUGGCAGGAAGCGGAAGACCAAUUUGGUUCGAGGAGAGCAUCACGCCUCCUCUUCUCCUGCAGUGAUUCAGUAGAGACUUUUUUUUUUUCCUUUUCGCACGGCUGCAGCCUACGGGAACAGUCUGACUGGAGUUGGCCUUGCAAUAUAUGCACACUAGCACAGAUGCCACUAUGGUCAUAAUGACACAUUAUGGCAGUAUGACCUUGAUUUACACAUUUCUGUGUUCUGUAAAGAACUAUUGGAACAAUUCAUUAUAGCCAUCUAGCUGGUGUCUAUUGAUGUGUCCCAUCCAUUCAUCCAUCGAUGAGUCGGCUGGAUGGAUAACAAAACGAUAGAUGAUGAUAGAUUGAUUGAGAGAGCAGUUACGCAAGUCAAGACAAAACACCUUCCCUGUGGGACUUGGAUGAUAAAUUGCGUUUCCCUCUUUACAGCCGCCACAGUAUAUAUUUGAUUGCGCAAUCUCCACAUAGCGCUGUUAUACAACACAGUUUGUACGAGUGGGUAUUUUUGACGCUAUUGAGGCUCGAGAGCAAGUGAUGGGCCAGACGUUAAAAAGCGCAACCUUUUGUCUGUGCUUUCAGGUGGGAGGUUUUUAAUCAACGACUCCGGCGUCUGAAGAGGGGUUUAGGUGACUCACCGACUCUCGCCAUCUGUCUCGCCAUAAGUAAAAAGUGGUCCUGAAUAGGCGUUAUGCAAGAGGAACACUGGCGAGCAUCUAAGAUUUUUACUUUUUUCAAUUUUCGACUUGGUGCUGAACUUGUGAACUUAACCACCCUCACCAAGAGGGGGCAGCAUUGUUUCAGUUUGGACACUGCGGCCAACCUCAUCACUCAUCUGACCUUUAAGCAAGCAACAAAUGUCUGUCCUCCUAUCUCCAUUUAGGUCGGGCAAUCUGAUGAGAAGAAAAGUCGAGUCUCCUAUCAACCAAACCAACGAAAUAAAAAAGUACAUUUUGUUCAAUGUUGGUUUGAUGGACAUGUUGUGAAGAGGGUGGAAUUAAUGAAAAUAUGAUGUUCUCUCGGUUAUUUUGACACCCCGCCCCGACCAUUUUGUCUGCCACUUCCUCCCACGCUCACGCUGAAAGAGCGCCGGUGUCUGAACAAUGGCGAGACGGUUGCUCGUUAGACAGAUGGCUCCAGCUUGGAAGGCGACGCUAAAAGCCAGUCACGCUCUGUUCUCUUCUCGCUGCACACUGACUGAACAUUAACCUGACCGAGUAGUUUGGAUUAUGAAAUUGUACUAAAGUGUCUUAAUGCAGCUGAGUGUAUUUGUCUCAUGAUUCAUGUUGCGCGAUCAUGUCCUUCUUCUUACUCGUUCUGUAAAGAUGAGCCUUUUUUGUCGGGCUUAGAGGUAAGGGGUGCAGUAAUGGUAUCGAAAAACUAAUAAAUGUUAAUUUUCUGCAGCAAUUGUGUGUAAAUUCUGAAAUGCAAGACCAUGUACAGAAAGGCUUUUUUUAAAUAAAAAAACGAAAUGAG